UGUUGCGCUCUAGGGUGCAACAAUGAAUACUUAUUUAGUGAAGCGUGUAACAAUAUUUUUAUUAUAUAUGAUUAUUUAGAAUUGCUCCUUCAUUUUAAUUAAUGUGAUGUAUGUACUCUGGAGUAAGAAUAUUGAAUAUAACCCAAACAAUAUAAGAAUCGAUAUGUAUUGUACCUAUCGGAAAGGUAUGAAAUACCAGAACUAAUAUCUAAAUGAAUACGAAACAAUAAAGAAUGCCAGCAACUGCAAGAGAGCUGCAGAAAGGAUUUAUGAGAUCAUCACAGUAACGUCACAACAGAGGAUUAACUGGGGUAGAACAUAUAGAAUACAGGAUUAACAGAGAACUUGUUUACAACAUAUCUAGCUUUAUAAGAAUAUGGAUGCUGCUGAAGACUGAUUUUGAAGAUUUCCAAGUGUUGGAGAAUUCGCUACUAGAAUAUUUGCACACGAAGGCCUUCAUCAAUAGCCUUACAUUCAAUUGAUAAACGUGAGUUGAAUGAAAGAAAUGGCAGAAGCAGCAGUUUCAAGUUACGAGAAGAGUAUUGUCAUUUAUGAAGCCGAC